AGAACGAACGCUGGCGGCAUGCCUAACACAUGCAAGUCGAACGAGACCUUCGGGUCUAGUGGCGCACGGGUGCGUAACGCGUGGGAAUCUGCCCUUAGGUACGGAAUAACAGUGAGAAAUUACUGCUAAUACCGUAUGAUGUCUUCGGACCAAAGAUUUAUCGCCUAGGGAUGAGCCCGCGUUGGAUUAGCUAGUUGGUGGGGUAAAGGCCUACCAAGGCGACGAUCCAUAGCUGGUCUGAGAGGAUGAUCAGCCACACUGGGACUGAGACACGGCCCAGACUCCUACGGGAGGCAGCAGUGGGGAAUAUUGGACAAUGGGCGAAAGCCUGAUCCAGCAAUGCCGCGUGAGUGAAGAAGGCCUUAGGGUUGUAAAGCUCUUUUACCCGGGAAGAUAAUGACUGUACCGGGAGAAUAAGCUCCGGCUAACUCCGUGCCAGCAGCCGC
rnacentral:rRNA from 1 species